rnacentral:rRNA from 1 species
AGUGAACGCUGGCGGUAGGCCUAACACAUGCAAGUCGAACGGCAGCACAGGAGAGCUUGCUCUCUGGGUGGCGAGUGGCGGACGGGUGAGGAAUACAUCGGAAUCUACCUUUUCGUGGGGGAUAACGUAGGGAAACUUACGCUAAUACCGCAUACGACCUACGGGUGAAGGUGGGGGACCGCAAGGCCUCCCGCGUUUAGAUGAGCCGAUGUCCGAUUAGCUAGUUGGAGGGGUAAUGGCCCACCAAGGCGACUAUCGGUAGCUGGUCUUAGAGGAUGAUCAGCCACACUGGAACUGAGACACGGUCCAGACUCCUACGGGAGGCAGCAGUGGGGAAUAUUGGACAAUGGGCGCAAGCCUGAUCCAGCCAUACCGCGUGGGUGAAGAAGGCCUUCGGGUUGUAAAGCCCUUUUGUUGGGAAAGAAAUCCUAUCGGUUAAUAACCGGUGGGGAUGACGGUACCCAAAGAAUAAGCACCGGCUAACUUCGUGCCAGCAGCAGCCGCGGUAA